AGCGAACGCUGGCGGCAGGCCUAACACAUGCAAGUCGAACGAACCUUUCGGGGUUUGUGGCGGACGGGUGAGUAACCCGUGGGAACGUGCCUUUGGGUUCGGCAUACCUCAGGGAAACUUGUACUAAUACCGAAUGUGCCCUUCUGGGGAAAGAUUUAUAGCCUUUAGAGGGGCCGGCGUCUGAUUAGCUAGUUGGUUGAGGUAAUGGCACAUCAAGGCGACGAUCAGUAGCUGGUCAGAGAGGAUGAUCAGCCACAUUGGGAGCGAGACACGGCACAAACUCCUACGGGAGGGAGCAGAGGGGAAUCGUGCGAAAUGGGCGAAAGCCUGACGGAGCCAGGACGCGUAAAUGAUGAAGGUCUUAGGAUAGUAAAAUUCUUUCAACGGGGAAGAUAAUGACGGUACCCAGAGAAGAAGCCCCGGCUAACUACGUG
rnacentral:rRNA from 1 species